rnacentral:tRNA from 1 species
AGUUAAUUAGCUUAUAUAAAGCAUAUAUUUUGAAAAUAUAUGAUAAAGAUUGAAUUCUUUAUUAACUU